AUUAAGAUGUCUGAUUUAAGUAGUAAACUGUAAAUUUACUUAAGGAAAUUUAUAUCUUCCUCUUAAUA
rnacentral:tRNA from 1 species